rnacentral:lncRNA from 1 species
GUGGUGGGGGUGAUUUCUCCGGCGGUGGUGGGGACUUGUAGUAGUAAGGUGGUGGAGGAGAUGGCGAUGGUGGUGGUGGGGACUUGUAGUAGUAAGGAGGGAGUGGUGAUGGAGAUGGUGGUGGGGGAGAUUUGUAGUAGUAGGGAUGAGGGGAUGGAGAUGGUGGUGGGGGAGAUUUGUAGUAGUAGGGAUGAGGGGAUGGAGAUGGUGGUGGGGGAGAUUUGUAGUAGUAGGGAUGAGGGGAUGGAGAUGGUGGUGGUGGGGAGACGUAAUGAUAAGGUGGUGGUGGAGAUUUCUCCGGCGGUGGUGGGGAGAUGUACUGAUAAGGUGGUGGUGGGGAUUUCUCCGGAGGUGGUGGGGAGAUGUAGUGAUAAGGUGGUGGUGGGGAUUUUUCCGGUGGUGGUGGGGAGAUGUACUGAUAAGGUGGUGGUGGAGAUUUUUCCGGUGGUGGUGGGGAGAUGUACUGAUAAGGUGGUGGUGGAGAUUUUUCCGGUGGUGGUGGGGAGACGUAAUAAUACGGCUUUGGUGGAGGUUUCACCGGUGGUGGCGGUGACUUGUAUAGGUAAGUUGGUGGUGGAGGUGGUGGUGAUUUAUAGACAUAAGUUGGUGGUGGUGGGGAGACGUAAUAAUACGGCUUUGGUGGAGGUUUCACUGGUGGUGGCGGUGACUUGUAUAGGUAAGUUGGUGGUGGAGGUGGUGGUGAUUUAUAGACAUAAGUUGGUGGUGGUGGGGAGACGUAAUAAUACGGCUUUGGCGGAGGUUUCACCGGUGGUGGCGGUGACUUGUAUAGGUAAGUUGGUGGUGGAGGUGGUGGUGAUUUAUAGACAUAAGUUGGUGGUGGUGGGGAGACGUAAUAAUACGGCUUUGGUGGAGGUUUCACCGGUGGUGGCGGUGACUUGUAUAGGUAAGUUGGUGGUGGAGGUGGUGGUGAUUUAUAGACAUAAGUUGGUGGCGGAGGAGAUAUGUAGUGGUAAGGAGCAGGAGUUGGCUUGGGCUUCUCACAUUCCUCAUAAGGAGUCUUGGGAGCAUAAGCAAAUGGUUUUGCGUAGAGCACGACUUCAUAGUCAGUCUUGGACUUGACUCUGAGUUCAGCACCCGUUUUGCCCCAGUGGAGAUUGGUUGGAAUGUUGCAUUUGGAAUCCUUUGGCGCCAUGUGCAGCUUAGCCAUGCAUGCCUUAGCUCCAUAUUUGCCAUAAUCAAACCCUUCAAGUGUGACGCUGUACUUUCCAUUAAUCUUAGUUUUUCCAUAUGCCACAAUCUUCUUGUCACCAACCUUGCACGUAACCUCUACUACAGCUCCUGCACAAUGUGUAGACAGAAAAUUCAAAACUACAAUUAUUGGUGGAUAGAAAUAAUUAAAAUCAUAUUCGGGUUUUGGCAAUUAUGCUCUUCUUGUUUUUUUUUUUUUUUUUGGAUUACUAAAAUGAAAAUUAAUAUUAGUUAGUACCAAAUGUUGGACAAACUGAUAAUCAAUUGGAAAAAUUCGGCAUCUCCAGCUGCCACAAGUACUUAGUCCAACAACUAAUUUGUCUUUUUCCAAUUUAAAAACUAUUCCACUUUUCUAACACAUGACUAUUGAUUAUAACUUCACAUAUAAAAAAUGUCAAGCUUAACGAUCUGGACACAAUUUUUAUUCAAUAAAAUGAUACUCUAACGUGGACUACGUGGUCAAGAUGCCAUGAUUUGUACACAAAAGUUGUCUCCCGUAUGACAAAGCAGCCUUUUCAAUUGGGAUCCAGGAAUUUAUGAGACAAACACACAACAAUUAACGGUUGUUUUAUUGACUGCUUAAUCAUGACAUAAAUUACUAAAUAUGUAUAAAUUCAAGAAUAUGUCAUCAAACUUUUUUCUCAUUUACGUUAACGUAUUCUUUUUGCUGUUGCAAAUAACAAAAGAAAAACAAAAAUUGCUUUCAAAGAAUGGACCAACCUUCAUUUUCAGAAUUACUAACGUAACCCAUUUCAUUUUCAAGUUUAAGGAACGUUUUGUACCAAAAUCUAUUACAAUCAUCAUGGAAGUUGACUUAAAAUAUGUUGCAAUUUAAGGAUUGGGAUUUUAAUUUUUUAAUUGGAUUAAAAAGAAAAAAUGACGUCAUCUUGUAAGCAGAAAAAAUUUCAGUAGAUAUGGAAUGGAGAAGGAAGACGUACCUUUGAGAUGUUUCUUGUCAUGGGAUUUCUUUGGGUAGUCCCAGUCGUAGCAUCUGUAGCAGUAAACUUUUCCAACUACCUUAACGAGCAUGGGGUGGUGAGGGUGGGGGUGGUAAGGAACUGGUGGUGGUGGAGAAGUGUAGUAGUAUGGUGGAUGUGGAGGCUUCAUUGGCGGCGGUGGAGAAGUGUAGUAGUAUGGUGGAUGUGGAGGCUUCAUUGGCGGUGGUGGAGAAUUGUAGUAGUAUGGUGGAUGUGGAGGCUUCAUUGGCGGUGGUGGAGAAUUGUAGUAGUACGGUGGAUGUGGAGGCUUCAUUGGUGGCGGUGGAGGAGAAGUGUAGUAGUAUGGUGGAUGUGGAGGCUUCACUGGUGGUGGUGGAGAAUUAUAGUAGUAUGGUGGAUGUGGAGGCUUCAUUGGUGGUGGUGGAGGAGAAGUGUAGUAGUAUGGUGGAUGUGGUGACUUAACUGGUGGUGGAGGAGAAGUGUAGUAGUAUGGUGGAUGUGGAGGCUUCAUUGGUGGUGGUGGAGAAAUAUAGUAGUACGGUGGAUGUCUUCACUGGUGGUGGGUGGGGAAGUGUAGUAGUAAGGUGGAUGGGGUGAUUUCACUGGUGGUGGAGGUGAAUGGUAGUAGUAAGGUGGAAGAGACUUCUCUGGUGGUGGAGGAGAGCUGUA